rnacentral:rRNA from 1 species
UACGAAGGGUGCAAGCGUUACUCGGAAUUACUGGGCGUAAAGUGUGCGUAGGCGGCCGCGCAAGUCGGGUGUGAAAGCCCCGGGCUUAACUUGGGAAUUGCGCUCGAAACUACGUGGCUGGAGUGUGGCAGAGGAAGGUGGAAUUCCAGGUGUAGCGGUGAAAUGCGUAGAGAUCUGGAGGAACACCGAUGGCGAAGGCAGCCUUCUGGGCCAACACUGACGCUCAUGCACGAAAGCGUGGGGAGCAAACAGG